rnacentral:rRNA from 1 species
GAUGAACGCUGGCGGCGUGCCUAAUACAUGCAAGUCGAGCGAACAGACGCUGAUCUUGCUCCUCUGACGUUAGCGGCGGACGGGUGAGUAACACGUGUAUAACCUACCUAUAUGACUGGGAUAACUUCGGGAAACCGGAGCUAAUACCGGAUAAUAUAUUGAACCGCAUGGUUCAAUAGUGAAAGACGGUUUUGCUGUCACUUAUAGAUGGAUCCGCGCCGCUUUAGAUAGUUGGUAAGCUAACGGCUUACCAAGGCAACCAUGCGUAGCCGACCUGAGAGAGUGGUAGGCGACACGAGAACUGAGACACGGUCCAGACGCCUGAGGGAGGCAGCAGUAGGGAAUGUGCCGCAAUGGGCGAAAGCAUGACGGAGCAGGGGCGCGUGAGUGAUGAAGGUGUUCGGAGCGUAAAAAUCUGUUAUGAGGGAAGAACAAAUGUGGAAGGAAAUAAGCACGGCUUGACGGUAACUAAUCAGAAAGCAACGGCUAACUACGUG